AUACAAACAGCUAAACUUAU
rnacentral:miRNA from 1 species